rnacentral:rRNA from 1 species
AGAAUCAACGCUGGCGGCGUGCCUAACACAUGCAAGUCGAACGAGAAAGUGGAGCAAUCCAUGAGUAAAGUGGCGCACGGGUGAGUAACACGUGACUACCUACCCUCGAGUGGGGAAUAACCUCGGGAAACCGGGGCUAACACCGCAUAAUAUCUACGGAUCAAAUGCGAAAGCAGCUUGAGGAGGGGGUCGCGGCCGAUUAGCUAGUUGGUGAGGUAAUGGCUCACCAAGGCAAUGAUCGGUA